UCUCACCAGCCCCCGAUCAGUCAGAAUCUUAAGACAGUGCCACACACUGGUGGCUUAAACAGCAGAUAUCUGUAUAUUACUCUUCUGGAGGUUGGUGAUGUCACCUAGCUUAUGGACAGUGUCUUUUUGCUGAGCUUACAUGUUGGUCACGGGACACAGCUUUCUGGGAUCUUGGAUAUGGAUCUAAUGCCACCACAGGGGUUCCCCUGGUGACCCCAGCUCUGAGCACCAUUACUUUAGAAAGUAGAAUUUCAACACACUAAUUUUAUGGGAACUAUAAACAUUUAGCUGCUGUAAUGGCAGGUCUGGGGUUUGGUCCUCAACCGAGAAUUUCCAGCACUGCUGGAAAAACUCUGGCUGCUGGUUCCAAACUCACACUCUGGGACCACUGCUUUAUCUUAUUUCACUUUUAAGAUAGGGUUGAUUAUGGCCGGCAGUGGUCUCAAACUCGUUAUGUAGCCAAUAAUGACCUUGAACUUCUGAGUUUCCUACCGCUACUUCCCAAGGGUUAGGAUUACAGUGUGUGCCACUACACCCGGGCUUUGUGCACACUAGGCAAGCACUCUCACAACUGAGAUGGAUCCGCAGACCCCGCUGCUCUGUUGUAAUGGGUGAAAGGUGCAGGUAUGUGAGGAAGGGUUGCCUUUCACGGUAGCAGAGGCAACCAAAGUAAUAUACGGACAUGCACCAGUGCCUCCUUGAGGAUGGCCUUCUGUCCUUGUCAAAUCAGGUCAGUGGCUUCUAGGCCAGUAUUCAGGACAGAGGUGUUAUUUAAUAAUAAUAACAAUAAUAAUAAUAAAUAACAACAACACGUUCCUAACAUUUAAAGGCUAGGAACUGUUGUCCAGCUAAUUAAGGUCAAAGUCUACCAUUGUCCAGAUAACCUUCUGGGCUCAGAGCAAAAUGGAGGGCUUCCUUUAUUAGCAGGGCUUCCCAUUCUCUGACCUUAACCCCCACACACCUCUACCUGCAGAGUGUCAGCCUUGAUUAACAUUACAGGGUCAACUCCUUUUCUCCCAGUAAGGACCCGUUCAGCUAACCCAUGAGAUUCCUAGGCUGUCUCUCCAUGCUAGCGAGGCAUCUCUGUACCGCAAGCCUUCAGCCUUUGCCCACCCAGGGUAUUCCUGCCUCCAAAACUAUGCAAUCCUUGAAUCACUCCAGGUAAAGUUGACCCAUCUUCCCGAAGCUGGCCCUGGUCACUGUCAUAUGUACUCACAGGGCUUCGGAACCCCCUGUAUGUCUCCUCUGCUCUAUUUGGCCUCCUGGAUCAAUGUCAGCCAGUGGUGCCCAGGGGCAGGGUGGGUCACAGGAACCAUAAGUAGUGGGUAUGUGCACUAUUUAGUAGAACUUUUUUUUUUUUAACUCUUUCUUGUUUUUCUCAAGAGAAAAAAAAAAGGCAAUUAAUUUGAUAACACCACAGCGUUUACAGUCUAGCAGAGCCAAACACUGCUCAUUGGUUGACAGCUAAGGACCAGUAAGUGUCUGGGUCCUGGAAGGGUAUGCCUUAACUCUAGAGCGGUCUAAGAUUUCGGCUCUGUUCAUUUCCUCUGGUUUCUUCUCUUCCUUCUGCCCUCCGUUUCUUCUUCCUUUGUUGGUUGUUGUGGGAUUUCUUUCCUGCCUAAGAUUGGUCUGCUUGGGAUGUCUGCUUCUAUUUGAAUGAAUUUUGAUAUUUUGCAUUUUUCUGCAGAACCGUUCAUUGUGAGGGGCUGGGAGAUGGUUCAGUGGGCGAGUACUGGCUGAGUACCUCCUGAGUUUGGGUGCUGGGGAAAAUCCAUGUAAGCUGAGCAUGGCUGUCUUCCUCUACUGCUCUGACAUAGGAUCUCUCACUGGACCUGUAGCUCACCAGUGGGCUAAACUGGCUGGCCUUAGAGCCCUUGAACCCUCCUGACUCUGCCUUCCAGCCAUGGGGAGAGCACUUACAACUCUAAUUUUAUACGUGGGGAUAAACUCAAGUCCUGGUGCUUGUUGUGGCAAGCUCUCUUUACACACUGAGCCAUCUCUCCAGCCCACAAAUGAUUCCUUUUGUAAGAAUUGUACUUUGUGGGUAAUAGCACAGACUGCUCUUCCAAAGGUCCUGAGUUCAAAUCCCAGCAACCACAUGGUGGCUCACAACCACCCGUAAUGAGAUCUGAUGCCCUCUUCUGGUGUGUCAGAAGACAGCUACAGUGUAUUUAUGUAUAAUGAUAAAUAAAUCUUUGGGACUGAACAAGUGGAGUUGACCAGAGUGAGUGGGGCCAACUGGAGCAAGCAGAGGUCCUAAAAAUUCAAUUCCCAGCAACCACAUGAGGGCUCACAACCAUCUGUACAGCUACAGUGUACUCACAUACAUAAAAUAAAUAAAUCUUUUUUAAAAAAUGACGCUUUCUUAUAUGUGUACACGCCACUGCAUUUUCGCAAUCUCAGCUUAGAGUAUUGUCCUUUUUUUUUCUUGAUUAGGCUAGCAGAUAUGUAUAUAUGUACACACACACACACACACACACACACACACACAUAUUCACCAUUGCUGUUCUUUUGCUUUGUUUGGUUUCCAGGGAUCCAUCCCUUCCCUCCUACACCUCACCCCCUCUUCCCUUCCUUUCUUCUGCCUCACUGAGUAACACUGGCCGGGAACUCACUCUGUAGACCAGGCUGGCCUUGAAGUCAGAGAUCCUUCUGCCUCUGCCUCCCAGAUGCUGCGAUGGAUGGCGUGUGCCACCACUGUCCAGCUUAGAUUAUUUAAGAUAUCCAAAAACAUUGUAAAUGCCAUGCAACAGUUAUUCUACUGUAAUGUUUAGAGAAUGGUGGUGACGAAUCAGGAUACGGUCAGCACCACGGCAUCCCCCAAAUCUUGUCAAUUAUAGUUGGAUGCACAGAUGCAGAACACACGGGUAUAGGUAUGACUGACUAGAGUGUUAGUUCUGCCUUUCUGUUUUCCUUAGACUUUAAAACUUUUUUUGAGUUGAAUAAUUUUCUUCAGGUUCAUUCUUCUUAAAUAAUUUUUAAGUUAGUAUUAUUUAUUUACUUGUUCCUGUGUUUGUUGAUUUGUGUUGUUCCGUGGGGCACACGUGGAGGUCAGAGAACAGUUAUGGGAACCUUAUAGGAGUCAGUUCUUUCUUUUUAACUGUGUGACUCCUGGGAACUGAACUGAAAGGUUGGCAGGGUGGGCCUUUACCUGAGCCGUCUUGGCAGCCCAACAAAUGAUUUUGAGAGUUUGGGUUUUCCUUUUAAGACAGACAGACAG
rnacentral:lncRNA from 1 species